rnacentral:rRNA from 1 species
ACGGUACACUCCUACGGGAGGCAGCAGUGGGGAAUUUUGGACAAUGGGCGAAAGCCUGAUCCAGCAAUGCCGCGUGUGUGAAGAAGGCCUUCGGGUUGUAAAGCACUUUUGUCCGGAAAGAAAUCCUUGGCUCUAAUACAGUCGGGGGAUGACGGUACCGGAAGAAUAAGCACCGGCUAACUACGUGCCAGCAGCCGCGGUAAUACGUAGGGUGCGAGCGUUAAUCGGAAUUACUGGGCGUAAAGCGUGCGCAGGCGGUUUGCUAAGACCGAUGUGAAAUCCCCGGGCUCAACCUGGGAACUGCAUUGGUGACUGGCAGGCUAGAGUAUGGCAGAGGGGGGUAGAAUUCCACGUGUAGCAGUGAAAUGCGUAGAGAUGUGGAGGAAUACCGAUGGCGAAGGCAGCCCCCUGGGCCAAUACUGACGCUCAUGCACGAAAGCGUGGGGAGCAAACAGGAUUAGAUACCCUGGUAGUCCCA